AGACCCUCCAGGGGCAGGGCCCAGGAUUGAAGAGGGAAGCCCUGCUCCACACGUGUUCAUCAGGAAGGACCCACAGACUGCUGCUCCUGGAGGCCUCUCGGUUUAUGGAUGUGUGUUUGUUCCAUAAACCCUCAGAGGGUCACCUGGAGACCCGCUAAAAUGCAGGUUCUUGGGCCACAUCCUAGACCUUCUGACCGACCCAGGGAGUGGGGCCCAGGAAGCUGCAUUUGACAGAUAUCCCCGUGUGAUCAUCAUGCACACAGGAGUGAGAGAACCAGUGUUCUCCCCGGGCAGAAGGGAAGCUCGUGUGCAGGACACCUCACACCUCCUUUCCCAUUCCCCUGCCAGGCUCUCCCUGCUGACAUUGUUUUUGCGGGAGAGCUGUGAAUUCUGAAGAUUAGGUUGCUUCUCACCCCAAGCUCCAGAAGUCCAGGCUGAGCCAAACCAAGCUUCAAGUUGUGCCUGGACUUGGAGAACCAGGAGGUGAGGGGACUGACUACUUGAAGAUCACAUGGAGGAGGAGUCUGAUCCAGGCCCAGAUGGCUCUUUGCUCUGCUUCCAGGAUCCUGGAUGUCU
rnacentral:lncRNA from 10 species